UAAAGAAAACAUAUAUGCAGUACCGCCUC
rnacentral:piRNA from 1 species